rnacentral:rRNA from 1 species
UACGUAGGGGGCAAGCGUUGUCCGGAAUCAUUGGGCGUAAAGCGCGUGUAGGCGGUUCGGUAAGUCAGCUGUGAAAGUCCAGGGCUCAACCCUGGAAAGCCGGUUGAUACUGCCGGGCUAGAGUCCGGAAGAGGCGAGUGGAACUCCUGGUGUAGCGGUGGAAUGCGCAGAUAUCAGGAGGAACACCGAUAGCGAAGGCAGCUCGCUGGGACGGUACUGACGCUAAGGCGCGAAAGCGUGGGGAGCGAACAGG